rnacentral:rRNA from 1 species
AGCAGCCGCGGUAAUUCCAGCUCCAAUAGCGUAUAUUAAAGUUGUUGCAGUUAAAAAGCUCGUAGUUGAAUUUCGGGGUCAGUAGGUUGGUCGUGCCACUGGUAUGUACUGGCUUCACUGAUUCCUCCUUCUUGAAGAACUGUAAUGUCAUUAAUUUGGUGUUGCAGGGAAACAGGACUGUUACUUUGAAAAAUUGAGUGUUUAAAGCAGGCUUACGCUUGAAUACAUUAGCAUGGAAUAAUGAAAUAGGACGUUGAUCCUAUUUUGUGGUUUCUAGGUUGACGUAAUGAUUAAUAGGGAUAGUUGGGGCAUUAGUAUUCAAUUGCC